AGUCGGUCAGUGUUGACGUGUCGAGGACGGUGAGUGGAGACACUGUGGGGAGGAAGUGGGGCUUGUGGUGUGCGGAAGUGUAUGUGGGCAGGUUCUGUUGACGCUGAUGAAUCACAUCUUGCUUAAGAACACUGUGACAUCUGGCCGUCUGACCUUAGUGGUUACUUGGGCAGAUCCUGUCAGGCUUACCACCACCACCACCACCACCACCACCACCACCACCACCACCACCACCACCACCACCACCACCAACACCACCACAACUGCUGACCAGGGAGCGCCACUUGUGUGUGUGACGGCUUCUGCAGCUUCCCUGAUGCUUUUAUGAGGAUACAUUGUGAACUUAUUACACCAAGAAAAGGACGAAAGGAAUGACUGUGCAAUUAGACGACUUAAAUUUUACGGAAGAGAAGGAUCAAGAGGAGGAGAAAGGGGACUAGGAAACGAGACGAGGAAGUGGUAAAGAAAACAGAAACGAUACAUAUUGAAGACGACGAAAUGAAGGAAAGAACAUGAAAUGAUUAAGUAUUUAGGUAAGGAGCAGCAGCAGGAGGUGAAAAACAACAACAACAACAACAACAAACAGAAAAGGUAAAACAUGAAGAAGAAAGAAGAAAAGAAAAAAAAGAUCAAACAAAGAAGAACAAAGAAACAAAACCUUAAAAUCACCAAGAGGAAACAAAGAACAAAGAAAAAAAAAAAACUUCAAAUCACCAAAAGGAAACAAGACCCUCGAGGACCUCACCAACCUACCCAUCAACCCUCGAGGACCUCACCAACCUAUCCAUCAACCCUCGAGGACCUCACCAACCUACCCAUCAACACAUCUACUUGCGUUUAAUUCUGCGUAUAGCGGGACUCACCUUGAAGUUCCCCAGCUUAUCCGCAAUGGCGCCAGCGACGGGAGGCCCCAUGAUGGCUACGAGGGGCGUGAUGGCCAGGAGCACCCCGGCCUUGUCCGCCCCGAAGCCCAGAGCCUGCAUGUGCACGGCCAGGUACGGGUAGAGUGUGGUGUUGGCUGAGGGAAAAGAGACAGACAGUGGGUUCUCAAGAGUGUUUCUUCCGUUAAUAAUGUAUAAAUUUUGUUAAUCUGUCACU